UUGCUGGGGUGAUUAGUGGCGAACGGGUGAGUAACACGUGAGUAACCUGCCCCUGACUCUGGGAUAAGCCCGGGAAACUGGGUCUAAUACUGGAUAUGCACCGUGGACCGCAUGGUCCUUGGUGGAAAGAUUUUUUGGUCAGGGAUGGACUCGCGGCCUAUCAGCUUGUUGGUGAGGUAAUGGCUCACCAAGGCGACGACGGGUAGCCGGCCUGAGAGGGUGACCGGCCACACUGGGACUGAGACACGGCCCAGACUCCUACGGGAGGCAGCAGUGGGGAAUAUUGCACAAUGGGCGAAAGCCUGAUGCAGCGACGCCGCGUGAGGGAUGACGGCCUUCGGGUUGUAAACCUCUUUCAGUAGGGAAGAAGCGAAAGUGACGGUACCUGCAGAAGAAGCGCCGGCUAACUACGUGCCAGCAGCCGCGGUAAUACGUAGGGCGCAAGCGUUAUCCGGAAUUAUUGGGCGUAAAGAGCUCGUAGGCGGUUUGUCGCGUCUGCCGUGAAAGUCCGAGGCUCAACCUCGGAUCUGCGGUGGGUACGGGCAGACUAGAGUGAUGUAGGGGAGACUGGAAUUUCCUGGUGUAGCGGUGAAAUGCGCA
rnacentral:rRNA from 1 species